rfam:Glycine soja cultivar W05 scaffold2627_7, whole genome shotgun sequence.
AUAAUUAUUUGAUGUUGGCUUGGCUCAAUCAAAUUAAAAUUUUUAAAGAUUUUGUUAACUUUUUUGAUCUGAUUGAGCCGUGCCAAUAUCAUAUUCAUCUCU